AUGAAUAUCCUGAGUUGGAACUGCCGAGGAGGUGGGAACCCUGGGACACUUCGUGAUCUCGUGAGUCUAGCACAUGCUCACUCCCGUAGUGUCGUUUUUCUUUGUGAGACUAGGCAGUCGAAAAAUAAAAUGAAGAGAUAUCGUGCUCGAUUAGGUCUUAGUGGUUUUGAUGCUUUUGAUAGUGUUGGUAUUAGUGGUAGUCUUGCCUUGUUUUGA
rnacentral:rRNA from 1 species